rnacentral:misc_RNA from 1 species
GAUGAAGAACGUAGCGAAAUGCGAUAAGAAAUGCGAAUUGCAGAAUUUCCGUGAGUCAUCGAAUCUUUGAACGCACAUUGCGCCCACUGGUAUUCCGGUGGGCAUGCCUGUUCGAGCGUCAUUAUCCUCCCUCAAACCCCGGGUUUGGUGUUGGACCCAAGUUGUGUGAACAACUGGUCUUAAAGACAAUGACGGCGUCCGUGGGACCCUCGGUGCAACGAGCUUUUAGGAGCACGCAUCGAGUUGCAAGGACCUUCCGGGCCGGUCUCCUUUACUAUUUUACAAGGUUGACCUCGGAUCAGGUAGGAAUACCCGCUGAACUUAAGCAUAUCAAUAAGCGGAGGA